GAUGAACGCUGGCGGCGUGCCUAAUACAUGCAAGUCGAGCGAACAGACGAGGAGCUUGCUCCUCUGACGUUAGCGGCGGACGGGUGAGUAACACGUGGAUAACCUACCUAUAAGACUGGGAUAACUUCGGGAAACCGGAGCUAAUACCGGAUAAUAUACUGAACCGCAGGGUUCAAUAGUGAAAGACGGUUUUGCUGUCACUUAUAGAUGGAUCCGCGCCGCAUUAGCUAGUUGGUAAGGUAACGGCUUACCAAGGCGACGAUGCGUAGCCGAACUGAGAGGGUGAUCGGCCACACGGGAACUGAGACACGGUCCAGACUCCUACGGGAGGCAGCAGUAGGGAAUCGGCCGCAAUGGGCGAAAGCCUGACGGAGCAACGCCGCGUGAGUGAUGAAGGUCUUCGGAUCGUAAAACUCUGUUAUUAGGGAAGAACAAAUGUGUAAGUAACUAUGCACGUCUUGACGGUACCUAAUCAGAAAGCCACGGCUAACUACGUG
rnacentral:rRNA from 1 species